rnacentral:ribozyme from 14 species
AUUGUGGCAUUUGCUUGCCAAGUUAGACCAAUUAUUUGAACGCACAACGAAGGGUGGAGGAAAGGUUUCAUAGCUUUGCUGCAUUGGAAACAAAGAUAAAAUAAUGAAAUAAAAAUAACAGUUGCUACUUUCUUGUGAUAUUGUUCUCUCCCGUUUAACGCUGACACCUAAAACAUUCCCAUCACACACAGCAAAGAACAAUUCAUUCAUUCGCAGUUAGGUCCAUCUUGGCGAAAUCCCCCAUCCAAACUCAUCAUGUCCACAUGUUCUUUGAUGAAUCUCUGUCGUG